UGAAACUUGCCUUGUUCUUGGUUGGCAUGUAGAAAGGUUAGUGUCCAGAAGUAAACAAGUCUUGUGUUGAGUAGCCAAGUGUCUGCUCAUUAAAAGGAAAACAUUGUUCAUCAAGGAUUACAUGUGACAGCUGAUUGUAGGAGAUUGUGGCAUAAGAAAGAAAGGCGAAAAGAGGCCAAGACCACCAAAACUCAGAUUCUACUGAAGAACACUCAAACAGAGCAAGUCUGAACCCAUAAACGGUAAAGAAAAGAACUUUCAUCUGCCUAAAAUACCAACAUAAAUGAAAACAAAUCCCACCCUGCUUUUAUCUCCUUUUUUUCUCUACUUCUUCCCACUAUUUAGCAGGUCAUACAAGCAAUUUUACAGGGAGGAGCAACAGAUAAUGAAAAAUUGAAAACAAAAAAAAAA